rnacentral:piRNA from 1 species
AGGUGACUGGUUGCCUGUCAUUCCCAG